GCGAGUGAGCGGCAAAGCUCAAAUUUGAAAUCUAGCACCUUCGGUGUUUGAGUUGUAAUUUGAAGAUGGUAACCUUGGGUUUGGCUCUUGUCUAUGUUCCUUGGAACAGGACGUCAUAGAGGGUGAGAAUCCCGUCUGAUGAGAUGCCCAUUCCUAUGUAAGGUGCUAUCGAAGAGUCGAGUUGUUUGGGAAUGCAGCUCUAAGUGGGUGGUAAAUUCCAUCUAAAGCUAAAUAUUGGCGAGAGACCGAUAGCGAACAAGUACAGUGAUGGAAAGAUGAAAAGAACUUUGAAAAGAGAGUGAAAAAGUACGUGAAAUUGUUGAAAGGGAAGGGCAUUAGAUCAGACUUGGUGUUUUACGAUUAUCUUCUCUUCUUGAGUUGUGCACUCGUAUUUCACUGGGCCAGCAUCGAUUCGGAUGGCAAGAUAAUGGCAGUUGAAUGUGGCUUCACUUCGGUGGAGUGUUAUAGCUUCUGCUGAUAUUGCCUGUCUGGAUCGAGGGCUGCGUCUUUUGACUAGGAUGCUGGCGUAAUGAUCUAAUGCCGCCCG
rnacentral:rRNA from 1 species